UACGUAGGGGGCAAGCGUUAUCCGGAUUUACUGGGUGUAAAGGGAGCGUAGACGGACUGGCAAGUCUGAUGUGAAAGGCGGGGGCUCAACCCCUGGACUGCAUUGGAAACUGUUAGUCUUGAGUACCGGAGAGGUAAGCGGAAUUCCUAGUGUAGCGGUGAAAUGCGUAGAUAUUAGGAGGAACACCAGUGGCGAAGGCGGCUUACUGGACGGUAACUGACGUUGAGGCUCGAAAGCGUGGGGAGCAAACAGG
rnacentral:rRNA from 1 species